AGUCGAGGGGUAACGGAAGUAGCUUGCUACUAGACGACGACCGGCGCACGGGUGAGUAACGCGUAUGUAAUCUGCCUUGUACAGAGGGAUAGCCCAGAGAAAUUUGGAUUAAUACCUCAUAGUAUUACCGAAUCGCAUGAUUUGGUAAUUAAAGCUCCGGCGGUACAAGACGAACAUGCGUGACAUUAGCUAGUUGGUAAGGUAACGGCUUACCAAGGCUACGAUGUCUAGGGGUUCUGAGAGGAUGAUCCCCCACACUGGUACUGAGACACGGACCAGACUCCUACGGGAGGCAGCAGUGAGGAAUAUUGGUCAAUGGACGCAAGUCUGAACCAGCCAUCCCGCGUGAAGGAUGACUGCCCUAUGGGUUGUAAACUUCUUUUAUAUGCAAAUAAACCUACUUUCGUGAAAGUAGCUGAAGGUAGCAUAUGAAUAAACACCGGCUAACUCCGUGCCAGCAGCCGCGGUAAUACGGAGGGUGUAAGCGUUAUCCGGAUAUAUUGGGUUUAAAGGGUACGUA
rnacentral:rRNA from 1 species